UACAUGUGGGGCAAGCGUUUGUUCGGAAUUACUGGGCGUAAAGCGCACGUAGGCGGAUCUUUAAGUCAGAGGUGAAAUCCCAGGGCUCAACCCUGGAACUGCCUUUGAUACUGGAUGCCUGGAGUUCGGGAGAGGUGAGUGGAAUUCCGAGUGUAGAGGUGAAAUUCGUAGAUAUUCGGAGGAACACCAGUGGCGAAGGCGGCUCACUGGCUCGAUACUGACGCUGAGGUGCGAAAGCGUGGGGAGCAAACAGG
rnacentral:rRNA from 1 species